GCCUCCAUGUUUAUUUGAGCUGAGCGGAGGGAGAAGCUCGAGCGGCCGUUUGGACUCUGCUCGCGCUCCCAACCGAAACGCGCGCACGACCACCCAAAACGUCACCGUCUUUUCGAUGUCCCCUUCGUCUCUUUCGGGUUUGCAAACUCCCCCGGUCUGCCCCUACUCCUGCCUCGAGAGUAAAAGUUUCCUUCUCGUUGUGCCCCUGCUGCUGAACCGCUGCCCUGUUCUGGGAUUUUUUUCCCCGCGGCUGAGCGACACUGCUUCCAAAUACUCUCUGCUUACUGCAUGACGUCAUCCAGGUUGUCAGUCAGAGUUGUUGUUUAAGUCUUCUGGAGUAAGUGGGACUUGAACCUGGACCUCCUGCUCCAGAGUCACAUACCACCAGAAGUGAUGGCACCUUGAAAUUGGACUGCAUUAUAUGUGGCAGAAUUUAUGGAAGUCACCAUUAAUGAACGUCCCAGUGACAGUUUUCAAACAUGCUAAAAUAAGAUGUGUAAUGAAUCUGCAGAAGGUCAGCUAUGUACAAAAGGCAUCACAUUCUAUCAAGAACUGAAAACAGACUAAAGAGUCAGUGACCCAGAUGGUGCCCCUCUUCUCAUGUUGUAGAGCACUUUGCAUACAUCAUGGAUUAAACAGAAAAGCCCUUGUGUCUGACUGUGCAUCAUGUGACACAUUUCACACUGAAUAGAGCAUUUUCUUAAUGAGACCAUUCUGAUACGUGAAAUGAAAAAGCACUGGAGUUGGCAGCUGGGAAA